rnacentral:lncRNA from 1 species
GGGGUGGAGAAGAAGGAGGAGGAGAGGCGGGGGGUGGAGAAGAAGGAGGAGGGGAGGAGGGUGGAGGAGAGGAAGGAGGAGGAGAGCUGAGUGGGGAUGGAGGGGGAGUGGAAGCUGGUGGUGGAGACUGAGAGGGUGGAGGUGAAGAGGGAACAGGUGGCGGAGAAGACUGGACGGGAGGUGGAGAUGCUUGGGGUGUGGGAGGCGCAGGAGAGGUGGAUGGGCCUUGGGCUUGGGCUCCAACGCCGGCAACUAGAGUGAAGAUCAAACCAAGCAAGAAAACCA